AUUGAACGCUGGCGGCAGGCCUAACACAUGCAAGUCGAGCGGAUGAAGGGAGCUUGCUCCUGGAUUCAGCGGCGGACGGGUGAGUAAUGCCUAGGAAUCUGCCUGGUAGUGGGGGAUAACGUCCGGAAACGGGCGCUAAUACCGCAUACGUCCUGAGGGAGAAAGUGGGGGAUCUUCGGACCUCACGCUAUGAGAUGAGCCUAGGUCGGAUUAGCUAGUUGGUGGGGUAAAGGCCUACCAAGGCGACGAUCCGUAACUGGUCUGAGAGGAUGAUCAGUCACACUGGAACUGAGACACGGUCCAGACUCCUACGGGAGGCAGCAGUGGGGAAUAUUGGACAAUAGGCGAAAACCUGAUCCAGCCAUGCCGCGUGUGUGAAGAAGGUCUUCGGAUUGUAAAGCACUUUAAGUUGGGAGGAAGGGCAGUAAGUUAAUACCUUGCUGUUUUGACGUUACCAACAGAAUAAGCACCGGCUAACUUCGUG
rnacentral:rRNA from 1 species